GGUUGCGUGGCGAAAUGGAAUCGCGCUUGACUACGAUUUCCCAGUUAAAUGGGAUUGAGUAUCAAUCAAGAGAUUGUGGGUUCGACCCCCAUCGCAACCU
rnacentral:tRNA from 1 species